ACGACGCUGGCGGCGUGCUUAACACAUGCAAGUCGAGCGGGAUAGUAAGAAGCUUGCUUUGAACUAUUCUAGCGGCGGACGGGUGAGUAACGCGUGAGCAACCUUUCCUCUAACUGGGGAAUAACACAGGGAAACUUGUACUAAUACCGCAUAAGACCACGCUACCGCAUGGUAGAGGGGUCAAAGAUUUAUCGGAAACGGAUAGGCUCGCGUGACAUUAGCUAGAUGGCGGGGUAACGGCCCACCAUGGCGACGAUGUCUAGGGGUUCUGAGAGGAAGGUCCCCCACACUGGAACUGAGACACGGUCCAGACUCCUACGGGAGGCAGCAGUGAGGAAUAUUGGUCAAUGGUCGAAGGACUGAACCAGCCAUGCCGCGUGAAGGUGACGGCCCUAUGGGUCUUAAACUUCUUUUGCAAGGGAGCAAUAAGCCUCACGUGUGGGGCGAUGAGAGUACCUUGCGAAUAAGCAUCGGCUAACUCCGUG
rnacentral:rRNA from 1 species